CUCAACCAGAACUCAGCAGGAAGUACACAGCCUCCCUCUUGGCUCCACCCUUCUCCAGUCAGGGAGCAUCUCCACACUCCCAGAGACCCAUAGCCCAGGCAGCAGCCAGCUGGCAGGUGGCUCCCACAAGACCCUGAGGCUGACUGCUCCAGGCCCAGCAGGCAACAGGAGGUGGGCACUUCCUCAGCUGCUCUCCCCAGCGAACCUACAGAGGACAUGUCGGACUAUGAGAACGACGACGAGUGCUGGAGUGCCCUGGAGAGCUUCCGGGUGAAGCUCAUCUCUGUGAUUGACCCCUCUCGGAUCACGCCCUAUCUGCGCCAGUGCAAGGUUCUGAACCCGGAUGAUGAGGAGCAGGUGCUCAGUGACCCCAACCUGGUCAUCCGCAAGCGGAAAGUGGGUGUGCUCCUGGACAUCCUGCAGCGGACAGGCCACAAGGGCUACGUAGCCUUCCUGGAGAGUCUGGAACUCUACUACCCUCAGCUCUACAGGAAAGUCACUGGCAAGGAGCCAGCACGGGUCUUCUCCAUGAUCAUUGAUGCCUCAGGGGAAUCGGGCCUGACGCAGCUGCUGAUGACAGAGGUCAUGAAGCUGCAGAAGAAGGUGCAGGACCUGACGGCCCUUCUGAGCUCCAAGGACGACUUCAUCAAGGAGCUGCGGGUGAAGGACAGCCUCCUUCGAAAGCACCAGGAGCGCGUGCAGCGCCUCAAGGAAGAGUGCGAGCUGAGCAGCCGGGAGCUGAAGCGCUGCAAGGACGAGAACUACGACCUGGCCAUGCGCCUCACGCACCUGAGUGAAGAGAAGGCCUCGGCGCUCAUGCGGAACCGCGACCUGCAGCUCGAGGUGGACCGGCUCAGGCACAGCCUCAUGAAGGCGGAGGAUGAUUGCAAGGUGGAGCGGAAACACACACUGAAGCUCAGGCAUGCCAUGGAGCAGCGGCCUAGCCAGGAGCUGCUGUGGGAGCUACAGCAGGAAAAGGACUUGCUGCAGGCCCGAGUGCAAGAGCUGGAGGUCUCGGUCCAGGGGGGGAAGCUGGACCGGAACAGCCCCUACAUUCAAGUUCUCGAGGAGGACUGGCGCCAGGCACUGAAGGAGCACCAGGAACAGGCCAACACCAUCUUCUCCCUGCGCAAGGACCUCCGCCAGGCUGAGGCCCUCCGGACCCGGUGCAUGGAGGAAAGGGAGAUGUUCGAGUUGCAGUGCCUGGCCUUGCGCAAGGAUGCCAAGAUGUACAAGGAGCGGAUCGAGGCUAUCCUGCAGCAGAUGGAGGAGGUCUCCAUUGAGCGGGACCAGGCUAUGGCCUCGAGGGAAGAGCUGCAUGCCCAGUGUGCCCAGAGCUUCCAGGACAAAGAUGAGCUCCGAAAGCAGGUUCGAGAGCUGGGUGAGAAGGCAGACGAGUUGCAGCUGCAGCUGUUCCAGAGUGAGGGCCGGUUGCUGGCUGCCGAGGGCAGACUCAAACAGCAGCAGCUGGACAUGCUCAUCCUGAGCUCUGACUUGGAGGACAGUUCCCCUAGGAACUCCCAGGAGCUCUCACUGCCUCAGGACCUGGAGGAGGACGCCCAGCUCUCAGACAGAGGUGAGGAGGUGGGGGUGCCAUGCCCUGCCAGAGCCUGCCCUAGCCCAGAGGCACCUGGCCCUCGUCUCCUGGCCUCCCAGAAACCUGGCCCAUCCUCAGCACACAAAGCUGUGCGACUUACUCUGUCUCAGAGGUCACACCACUCCAAGGAUAGAGAAACUGAGGCAGAGAGUGGCAUCGGUGAAGGGCUAAAUUAUUAGGCUGACACACACAGAGAAUAAGGCAUCUGGAUCGAACACAGGGCUUAGGUCUCAGGGCCUGUGGCUCAGGGCAGUGAGUGUGGAGCCCCCGCCCUGCCUAGGCCCACCUUUCCCCGCCAGCCUCCCCCCUGCAGAGAGAUCUCCGAGCCAGUACCCAGGUGUGUUCAAAGAGGAAGGAAGGGGUGGCGCCAUGGACAGAGCAGCAGGAGAUGGGGUUGUGUGCUAUCCACAGCAGCGGGCAGCCAGACAGGACCCGCUCUGGUCUGACUGCUGGCUCAUUAGUCCUGGAGAUGGCAGCUGGGGGAGCUGGGGAGAACAGUGUCCUGAAGUAGCUGGAGGUGGGAGGUGGGGGUCUGGUGCAGGGAGGAGCCCUGAGAGCUGUCGUGAGAAGUCCAGCAGACUUCCUCAGCUCAGCCUUACCCCGGGCUCUAACCAAAGGCAAAAGAGGAACAAGUGCUGACGGAGAAGUGUGGAGGCGGGUCACCACGGCAGCCCCCAAGACCCGACUCUGAGCCACAGAGCUCCAUGUGGGCACAAAAGGAGGAGAACCCGAGAACAGCCAGCUCCCCGAAAAGCCAUGCCAGGAGCUAGGCACCAUGAAAUUAGAGCGGUAGUGGGUAGGUCUGUUGGCUGCUCUCAUACUGAGUCCUCCUUGGACAGAACUGUUUCUUGAUGUUCAUACCCUCCCCGACACCUGCCUGGAGGCUUGAGCCUUGGUCUGCCCAGGACCUUGGGCAUUCCUACUUUUCCUGGUCUAACUAAUAUAGAGUUCUUGCUCUCACCUCCAGAGGCCCUGAGCUCUCCACUGAGGCUGCUCCCACCCCACCCGUGGGAACCACUAGGCACAUAAAUGUCGCCAAGCCAACAGGGACAUGGCCUGGGGCAUGCGUGAGCAAACUGUCCUGGGGACCAGGAGUCUUUCCUGCCCCUCCACCCUUGUGCCCUGGCAGACAGGGAGAGCCCAGAGCAGCCCUGCACGGCUCAGAACAAGGAGCAGCUUUCGCAAACUCAU